AAAACCCUCGCCACUCAUGAAGAACUGAGGCAAAAGGAUCACAGAUGCUGCUCGGGGCCAGCCCUAUACUCCCUCCAGUGCCUGGUCUCCGGUGGACCCGCGGGGCUCUGCAGUUCUCUGGCGGCCGCGCCUUGUAAGCGCUAAGCCGGGAGGAGGGCGCAGGCAGGGCGCACAGCUCUGAGCGCGACCCUACCCGGCUCGGGCCCGCAGCAACCCCGACUGUCCGAGAGCCUCUCCCCAAGCAAGGCUCUGCGCCGCCCUCUGAGCCCACCUCCUGGCCACAACGCUGCCUGCGCUUCUCCAGCCCAGGCCGGAAGCCCUAUGCUGCCUCCCGAAGCCGGACUUUCUGGAAGCCCAUCUUCGUAUGCUCACCAGCCCACCCUCCUACGCUGGUCAGAGUGAGAUUGCUAACCUCAAGACCCCAUUCAAUGCCAGCUUUCAACUACUGCUGAAGACCAAUGUAGGUCCUGGAAUAGAAGAACUGCAGAGUAUCCGGAGCUGGCCGACCCCAGACUGAUUCUCAACAGGUGGCUGGGUAGUGCCCCCCACCCUGUGUUGGUCGUGCGGGACCCAUCGCACACAGAGAAGCCACCUUACCCCUCACCUCACCCCGUCGGCCAAAGACUGACCACCCGCGCCCGAGUGUGGGGAGGGGUGGGAAUUCCGGAUCACACACACACACACACACACACACACACACCAGGGUAGGGGAACAGGGAAGAUCUUACCUGCAGAAAGGUAAGAGAAGCCGGGAGCGUGUAGCAGCGGCGGAUAAAUAUUCAUUAGGAAGUGUAAGUCCUUUCAAAGGGCUCCGCGCGCGCGCUCUAGCUCCUGUCUCUCUUUCUCUCCCUCCCUCUGUCCUCCAGGAAGGCUUCCCCUCCUCUAGCUAUCUCAACGCCCCCCCCCCCUUCCUGCGAAAUACCGGGUGGAUCCUAGGCUAGCUAACCUGUUGGGAAGCCUGAACUGCGGUAGCGCCUCUGCAGCUAGCAGUUUGCUUUCGCUCCUGGGGCGCGCGUCCCCCCCCAUCCCCUCCCCUCCUUCCUUUCGCCCAGCCCCUCACCCCUCCUAAAUCACUACAUCAUUAGCUUUAUUGGGCGGGGGGGGGGCGGGUAACGGAGCAGCCAGACGCACCUCUCCAUAGAAGGGUGAAUAGUUGGUGCCCUGCGAUGCAACCCCAACUCCAUCUCCACCUCAUUCUCACCCAUCUGCACAUCCUCAUCCAAUCUUGCUUCUUUUUCUUCGCUCUUUCCACCUCCACCUCCAUCCUGUGUCAACCUAACUCCCUCAGCAGCCCUCCCACCCGCCGCCGCCAAUCCGGAUCACAGAUUGGGUUGGGAGUGAGAUUGCAAGGCUGUUAGGUCCGAAGGUCCUGUGUGUCGAGGUUAGAACUCCUCCCUGGCGUGAGUACGGGGUGGUUAUCAAGAUCUCCUUCUCCUUCCUGACCCUGCAAGGUUACCAAACAGCCUGGACUUUUGAAUCAGAUCUCUGGAGCAAGCAUUAAGAACUCCAGCCACACAGAUCUCAGGGCCUGGCCCUUUCACUCAGCCGCGGAGGCUGCUUGAGGGAUGGGGAGAGGUGAUUUCACUCAGCGCCAACGCGCAGGAAAAACUCAUAGACGACAGUCGGACUAAUACUCGUCCCUUAAGAAUGCACUACCUGAAGUUAGUCGCAAGUCAUCUUCAAUCGAGGAAAGGAAAAAAAAAAUCCUCACAUCUAGAAGCUUCGCCGAAGCCACUUCCAACAGCACGCGAACAUGUUCGCGCACACCCUUCUCUGUGCACGCCCCAAAGCCUGCUCUCUCGCGGGCAGGUGAAAAUACAGGCUGCCCAGGCCAGAGGAGAGAAGGCGGCGGAGGAAUACAUCGCUUAGGGUUGUUGAGAAACUAGGAAUAACUGUUUUCAAUACUCUGCUCUGCUACCAGGACCUUAGGUCCCUCUUGGGACCCUGAAAAGUGGCUUUGCCCCACGAUGGGGGGUGGGGGGGCAGUGACUCUAGCUCUGGCCCUCCUACUGGGAGCUUAAAGUUGGGGUGAAGGGUUUAAGGAGGAGCCGAGGGGGCGGGCCCUGUUAGUUUGCAGUUGUAAGUGCAGCUGUGCCUGGGACACCAAGAAGGAGAGUCUCGCCCCCUAAUGCUCACGGUGCUUGCUUAGAGGACCCCCGAGGUUAACUACCGGAGCUUCUGCUCUCUCCUGAGCCCCAGGCCAACACAGGACGAUGGUGGCCGGGAUGCCAGCCGGGAUGCCUAAACACAGUAAGACUUCAGUUGCCUCUCAUUUGGCUGUUCAGAGCUAAUGUCUACCAGAGGAGGUUUUAGAAGUGGGUCGCACCCGUCCUGAAUCCAUCCUGUGAGGUGGCAGAGGGUCAGAGGGUCACUCCUUCUUGUUAAAGGUUAGCAUAAUAAGUAUUAUUAUUACUAGGGUAGAGGAAGAUGUGGAGGAAAAAAAAAGCCUAGGGUGCCUAGGACACUAACCAACCUUACAGCUUACCCAAAGUCCAGAACCUCCCAUUGUACACCUUCUCUCCCCAACACAGAUCCCUAAGGUCUCCUCUUCAUCUGGCAUGUGUGUUCACAGAAGGUACAGUGUGCGAGAACACACUUAGGAAAUUUUAGGAACGCUAACCACAGUACUGGAGGAAUAAAGAUGUGUCGAAGGAAUGGAUGGAAUGCAUGAACACAUACACCUUGUUGUCCAGAUGCAGACAAAAGCUACCAUGUCCGCUUGGAGUGACGCCCAGACACGCACAGAGAUGUACAGGAAGCCAAGGAGAGUGGGAUCCACCAGAGUACAGUACAAGUACAGAGUACAGUGCAAGAUGCCCAGUGGCCCUGGAGAAAAACCUUCGUUGACUCUUCUGUAUGGAAAGUUUCUGAAGAAAGGGCCAAGGAAUGAUCUGCCCCAGAGGCUGCCUUUAGGCUCCCAUACCUGCUCUGUUUGGAGACACCCAGAAGAGGCCAGUACAGCAAAGACUCUUUUUGGUUUGGUUAUUUCUGUUGCUUGUUGUCUUUUUUUCAUCCUUUGCCUGGGAAAUUGUGCUCUGGAAUAGGGCUUGAGUAGACAGCACAGGCCUCCAGUAGAUAACAAGAGAUUCUCAAUCUCCAAUGAGGACAUUCCGUUCUAAGGAAGCUUCCAGAUAGGGGAAAGCCCUGUUUUGUCCCCCUUUUCUCCUCUGAGAUCUGAAAAAAUAGAAAGAAAAAAAAAGAAAAACAAAACAAAUAUAAAAACUAUAGCCCAAUCCCAUGUACAUCAAAUAAAUCCACAAGGAAUAUGCUAGAUCAAGCUAAAUUAUGUAUUUAACUCAUUUUCUUUUGUGAGAUACUGAGAAGUCUUCAACUUCCUCUAUUCCAGGCAGGGAUCGAGGACCUGGCCUGGCAGAGGUUCCACCACCAGGGUUUCCCACAGUGGUUCUGGGACUAGGCGUAAGGUGUCCUGACUUGUUUUCUCUGUCACCUCUUCUGGGGAACUGGGGAACUGUCCCAGACAAUGGCUGCCCCAGUUCCCUCUAGAAGAGACAGCCCCCACCCCCAGAACCCGUUGCCCUCCAACCUCACCUCAUUUUCUCUUGAGCUCAUUCUCCGAGCUCUUAAAGUAGUAGGUGUGAGUCUUGGACCAUUUCUUUAAAAGAAACAACUAAGGAAAGGGAGGGAGGGGAGGAGGGAGGAGGGGAGCGGGAAGGAGAGCUACCUCCUAGACUAACGCGUCCAGGAACCACUCUCUAAGGAGCAAAAGAGAGCCUGUGUUGUAAAGUAGAAGUGAUCCCCCGACAUUGCUGCAGGGCGCCUUGCAACAGAUGUAACUGUCCACUGAAGAGACAGAGGGUGGGCAUGGGGAAGAUUUUUUUUCCUCCCUUUUGUGAACAGCUCUUACACUUUUCCAAGACACAUUGAGUUCCUGGACAUUUUUGUGAAUUUGUUCUUGAUUGUGUUUUGAACAAUAAACUGUGAAAAUCAACUUCAAGCCCACACAAUCAGAAUCUUUCUUGGGAGGGCAGGUUCUUUCAGCGCUGUUUUUCUCCAGGUCGCUUUUAUCUUACCCCCAAUGGGAGUCACCUGCUGAUGCUCCUCGGGAGGAGACUGUAACUGAAAGACGGAAGUGAAUGCAGACACAGCAUCCUCUGAGCCAAACCGUUGCUUUGGUUCCUUCUAGCUUAGGAUGCCGAACACUGGCUGGCUUUGAACACCCUCUACUUCGCUAAGAAGUUUAGAGCCUUUCUCACAACAAACCACAGCGUUUUAGAACUGGAAAUGUUUCUUCUGAUUUUCCAGUCUUAGGACAAUUUUCGAACUCUAACUUAAAAAAAAAUUUGUUUAUGGGGGUUUAGCUAGAACACUUGUAGCAUUCGCUUCUCAAGGAAAGAUCAACUGUUUUCUCAUAACCCCAACUGCUCCACACACUUCAUAGGAUAUAAUGUAUUUUCUUUACUUAUCCUUGUGCCUUCUGCCCAGGACAUAGAACUAGGGGCAAAACUUUGGAGGUCUAUGACCUCUUGAUAGCACCUGUAAUUGUUAGGCUUUUGUUCUUGUGCCUUGUAAAUCUCUCAUGUACGUCUAUGAAAAUAUGCAUUGCAUGGGUGUGAUCCUAUCAAGUUGUCCACACUUUCUCAACAACCACUGAUGAGUGAAACCAUUUCUAUUGCCCAGGGCAAAGGGCUAAUCGCCUUGUGGGUCUAGAGUUGUCAUAGGAUAAUAUCCGGUGUGUGUGUGAUAUGACAGUUAUUACUUUCAAGAAUAAAUUAAAAUAACCAGAUACCCCUUUAAUACUUUCCUCAACAGCGUCAAUGCUCUAGAGAUGGGACCUCGCCUUCCAAGGUGUCUUCACUAUCACAGGGCCCGGGCUCUCUGCCUCAGCCCAACCCUGGGCUUGCGCUCAGAGAGGAGGUAUUCCGACGGAAAAAAAUCCCAUACAUUUUUAACUACAGUGAUUACUAAAUUAAUAGCAGGCACCAAGACAGAUGUCAAAACGUCUUGAAAAUGUUUAUCUGUGAAUAAUUGAGAAGGUAGUGGGACGCAUUAUCUGAUUGUGUAAUGAAAUAUGUAUGAGGAACAGCUGUUUGCAGCAGCCCCUUCCCCUUGCCGCCUUAGCCAGGGCCCUUCUCUCGCAAGCUUUCUUCUACUUUCUUCCACCUUUUUCUUCCUUCUACUUUCUAGUUCGCUCUCUUCUUCCUUAACUGCUCGCACGGCUUUGGCUGCAGUGAACCCAGAGUCGCCUGGUUCUCUGAUGAAGGUUAGCCACAAGGUUUCCUCUAAGCCUUGCUGGAUUGGCGUUCCGUAGUGGGAUGAGGCUUCGUUGUCUGCUGUUCUGGCCAUCGCGCCUUCCGGCCAGGCUGCCCGCUGGGUCUCCAUGGAGUCUGCGGG
rnacentral:lncRNA from 1 species